CCUCUAGAGAUUCCUACGGGAGGCAGCAGUGGGGAAUAUUGCACAAUGGGCGAAAGCCUGAUGCAGCCAUGCCGCGUGUAUGAAGAAGGCCUUCGGGUUGUAAAGUACUUUCAGUUGUGAGGAAGGGUGUGUAGUUAAUAGCUGCGCAUCUUGACGUUAGCAACAGAAGAAGCACCGGCUAACUCCGUGCCAGCAGCCGCGGUAAUAAU
rnacentral:rRNA from 1 species